rnacentral:misc_RNA from 1 species
CUAUAACUGUCAAAAAGAGGACCAGCUGAGACGACGGUUUUUGCAAUAAUACUCAACAAUUUGUAGUUAUUAAAACGUUCUUUUAUUGAACAAAUAAAUAUAUAAGUAGUUGAAUCUUCGUGAACAAAUGAAGUGACAUUAAUGCGAGAACGUUAAUAAUAAGUGAAUCGAGUGGAAAUAAUUUACGAAUAGUAGAUUUUGCGAUAACGCGAGUUUGCAAAAUGUCAAAUAAAAUUAAUAACUGUUUGUUCGAAAGUAUAAUAAUAAAAACGUCUUUAACUGACAAAUUGACGAAAUGAUUUCGACGAUACUAGAUCACUCGGAUGUCUCAUGGUUCGUUAGUGAUUCGAUAAAUAAUGUCGAAGGAUUAAAUAAUGCCCCGUAAAGAAAAGACAAAUGCCAAAACAUGGGAACGAGACAGACGAAAUCGUAUGAACACAUACUUCAAAACCCUGUCAGAUCUUUUACCGCCUCAACAGGAAGGACGCAAAAGAAACAAAGUCGACAUACUUAUCCAUGCUUCCAAGUAUAUAAAAGAAUUAAACAAUCGAACCGACGAAUUGUUCGGCGCUCAUGCCGGAGAAGCUCACAAGGAAGAACUGACCCGUUUGAAAAAAUUGGUCACUCAAUUAUUCUCACGAACUCAACUCCUUUCUGCUCUGCUACGAGAUGCUGGUAUAACGGUUCCUGCUGAACCGGCAUUGGAAAAAAUCUCUCCUCUCAAAUGGUCAAACAAAAUAAAUGUCGAAGAGAGCGAGAAAUAUGUUGACAGAUUGCCGGAGCGUAAAAAACCUGACAAACGAAAGAGCAAACAGACAGGAUACAAAGUGCCUUCGAAGCAAAAAAUCGUUGCUCUUGUCAACGAUGCGCCCAAAAAAGUUUCUGAUAUCAAGGAAACCCUUGAACUCGGUCUCAUAGAAGAUCGAGAGAAUCAUGUAAAUAGUAGUAUUAAUGAAAACUGUGAGACUCACGAUGCUGGUGCUGGUGCAUCAAACGAAACUCCCAAUUCUAGCGCAGGUCGAAAUAUUACAGCACCCUCCCAGAACUAUGUGUGCCCUCAACUGGAAGGGACAGUACCGAAACCUGGAAAGAGAAUCCGAAAGAUGGAGUCGCGAAAAAAGGUCAAAAGAAAAGGAAAAAUGAUCGAUCCGAAGUUGAAGAAGAAAAAAAUCCACGCAACAUCGUCGCAGAGCCAGUCGAUUGCGAAUUUGUUGCCAGGCACGCUGAUCUGGUCCGCGGGCAAAAUAGUUCCUCUGGUAACCCCCAUAACAUCUUUAACGCCAAAUAUACUCGUGAGUGCCCAAGCUCAAUCGUCAAACCCAAUAAUUUUGGGUAACGCACAGCAGAAUCAAAUGAUCGUAAUGCAAUCGCUCACUAAUCGCGUACAAAAUUCAGUUUUGCCAGUACGCAAUGAAACAUUGAUGAAGGCGGUCCAAAAAGUCACUCUGAACGGCGUAUCUGGUGUUCAAACAAGUUUAGGAGUAAAUUCGCGGGACUGGAGCAUGAAAAACAUAGUUGAAGCUUCGAAAGUUGCUGGCCGAAAGGUUAUUUUACCGAAGGGCAAAGAAAUCACAACGACAACGAUGACGUACAAAGUUCCCAUUCCAGCUAUUCAUCGAGAACCGGCGUUGACUAAAUUAAUCGAAAAUUCCGAUAAUCCGGGUUCGAGAAAAACUAAAAAAACAGUCAAAGGCAAAAAAGUACAGAAAGUGCGGGAAAAUCUCGAUCCGGAAAUCAAAGAAGUUCACAACCAAAAUACAAGUCUGAAUGAGGCAGGAAGCAGUCAAGAGGACAUUGCCAAACUUCCGGAAGCGUCGAGCCCCGCUACGACGGGGAAUUCGGUGAUUAACGAAAAUAAGAGAAAGACUACGGAAGAAGCAUCCUCGUUGGAAAGUCCACAAUUAAAAAUACCAAAAAUUACUAAUUCCCCGGAGAAUUCUAAAUCGACAGAGGGCGUAACAAUAGUUUGUGAGAAAGUGUGCAAGAACGCUGACGAAUUUAGUGAAAAGACGAAGAAAAAUGUCGAAGAUCGUAUUUCCGAAGACUUGAAAAAGCCUCAAAGUUCUCUGAACAAAUCACUUGAGAAUCAGGAAAAUCCGGAGCUUCCAGAAACCGAAAUCCAAAAUAUUUCACAGCCUGAAACAUCUGACACGAGUAAUAAAAAUUCCGCGGAAACGGAAAGUGUUUCAAAGAUUUCUGAAGAUCCAACGCUCGGCUGCGGGCCUUACGACCCGAAAGUUUCGAACGGAUGGUCGACAAAGUCUGAUGAAAAAAUACCUAAAGAAACGGAGACUGCGAAGCCAGCUGCGGAAAUUGGAAGAGCUUCGAAAAGAUGCGCCGACAUGGAAGCCCCUGAAACGACGGAACUUCCGGAAGUGAAUAAGACUGCGAUCGUCGAAAUUGCUGUCGUGCCUGAGAAGGAGAAAGAAGAGUGCGAUCUUGGAACUCGUUUUGACAAUCUUCUGCGAGCAACGGCGGACGCAGAACCGAAAGUGGACGAGAACAGUAUCGUUGAGAGUACAAAGAUCAUUUUAAAUCUCGAUACGAACACGACAACGACGAUGAAACCGGAAGUUUGUGGAGCUUCUAUCGAAGCUCUGAGCACAAGCGUUUCAACGUCGGUAUUGACGAACGCGGAGGAAGAAGGAAUCGUCGAGGAGGCGAGAAUGAACGACAAUCGGGGGAAGGAAGAUGCGUUGAAGUCGUUGAGUUACAAUUCGGUGAAUUCGUUCGUCCCAAUUGGAAACAAUCGCGCGGACGGUUUGCACUCCGAUUUGUCCAACGAUUUGUUCGCCUCCCUUCAGGUCCCCUCGAGUUCUCACAAUCCCGAGUCAAUAUCGCCAACGGCAGCAUUCUUAAUGGCGUUCCCAUUGGUCUCUUCGUUAAACGGUAAAACAGAAGUGCUCGAGGAAGAGAUGAAAGAAGAUUUGAAGUACCACAGCCAAACGCCGCCGAUGCUUUUGCAGAUCGGUGCCAUAGAACCGAACAGUUUUAAAGUGAAGAACGAUUCUCCUCCAACGUCGACGAUUCCUGUCGACAAAAGCAUCCAAGAACCGAUCAAAACUAACAACAGAUCUAACGAAGUACCAAAAACCUUGCCGAAAAUAGUGACGAACGAGACGCUCAAGGAGCCGUUGUACAAGGUCGUACAAUAUCCCGAGCCGACUCUGGUCGCAAGUGAAAAUUUCGUAACGCUGCCGAGCGUCGUUAGACCGAGCGAGAGCGUCAGUACGACGAACGCUGAAAUUCAGUCGACAACGAUCGGCGAGAAUUCUCGCGCAGUCACGAACCCCAUGGCCCCGGAUUCGACGCUGGCGAGUCAGCCUUCAGGGAAAUGUGGGAAUUCCGUUCGGAAAUGUGACAACGAAACGGAUAACGUUCCUCUCGUAUCGAAGUACGAAGAGACGAAUCCCAAUCGAACAAUCGUUUCUUCGAACUGCACGAGCGAUUCGUCAAAGUACGAGUCGAACGCUCGUUAUCCGACGAUUCCAGACUACGUACCGAUUUAUACAAAUUUCACAAGCUCGUCGCAGCAGCAAUCACGUCCGAAUUAUGGAACGUUGAAAACCGCGACGAUGAACACCGCAGAGAUAGCGACGACGAUUUCAGGCCUCGAUACAGCGAUGUCUUAUCCGUCGAUAAUGCGAUCGCAGGCCGUUCAAAGCGCCUACGUAGCUCACACGACUGGGAAAGAGGUCGUGCAAUCGAUGUACGCGAACCGGCGAAAGGAGCCGGUCGUAAACCCAACGGAACCGAUCACUUCUUACGUCGCAUUUCCAUCGGUAUCGCAGAGUUUGCAGCACGAUUAUUUGCCGAGAAGCAAAGAGACUUAUCAGAGUUACGACAUUCACGGGAAAGAUAAUCGAGGAUUCCAGGGCUAUCCGGAGGGGACGACGAAGAGUUCAACGAUCCAGGAGACCGGCGGGAGCCAACAGGACCGAACUUACGUCACCUCGCGGGCCAACGAAAACGUUAAAGUCAAGGAAACUUUGAACGUUUUCCAAAGCUAUCCGAGCGCCGUAUCGCAAAGCACGAAGGAAACGACGAGCCACCGCGGAAACGCGGAAAAUUCGAGCAGACUGACUUCCCGAGAUGUUGCUCAACGCGAGGAAACCUUGACGCGCUUGAACAAUGGGAAAAUCGAUAAUUUCUUACAAACCAGUAGCUAUUUGACUUUUCCGAAAGAUCCCAAAAGCAAUUCUGUCAUCGGGGACGCGAUGUUUCAGCAAGCGAAGCGACACGAAUCUCAGAAUUACGUUCCUUACAGCAAAGAGACGAAGAAAGCGAUUUACGAUAAUUCCUCCAACUCUGCGUUGCCGCAGACCACCAAAUCGCAGUUGCUUGCGAAUUCGACGAUUCCGCGUUAUGGCUCGAACCAACUGAACUCGGAGCAGCAACAGACUUGCGUCGCUACUUCUAAUUACGUCCAGAGCACGAGCGUUUCCGAUAAUGCGAUGAAAUCAACGACAACCGUUGCUCACAAUUCUUCGAACUUCAGUAUUCUCUCGUGGACCACAUUUUCGCCACUCGGGGGCGCUAGCGUCAACAACGCAAACGGAAAUAACAGCAGCAACCCGAGUCACGUGCAUUACGAAACUGGCAGCGACCACGUGGAGCAGGCUGAAGCAAAAACUUCUUGUGAAAACUACUCUUACGCUUCAGUCCACAAAGAAUCUUACGGAAACAUGCUGCCGAGCGAAGGAUUCAGCGGGGAAUCAUCGCUCAUUGAUAAAUCCCGAGAAAAAUUGAUGAGCGAGAGUCUGAAGCCUCAAAUAUUCGAAGAUUCCUCCAAAGCUAAAGUGUCUCAGGCCAUCGUGACCGAGCACAAAAUCGUUCGUUCUCACAAUCAGAACGGAAACACCACGACGGAUUAUAAAUACGUUGGAGAGACAAAAAACAAGCAGAACAAAUAUCCGAUGGGUUCCGCUUACACGCAAACGGAAUUUCCGAGCUUGGAACAGCAGCCAAGUGCCAAGGGGGCUCAGCCUGUUGUCGGUGGAAAGCUAGAAAAGUCGAAUUAUCCGAUGCCCACGUACGACUCGCAGACUAAUUUCGAUAUUUCCGAAACGAACGUGGCGAUAAAGUGCAACAGCGAGAUUUAUAACUCGAGCAAUUACAAGUACAUGGAUGAGAAGGAUACGAAUUUGCAAUUGAAAUAUCAGCCUCAUGCGCAGAGCCAGGCAACGAUUUUGCACCACGACGCUGCCACUUACAACGGUGUCAAACACCUCAGUCAACAACAGCAACACUCUCAACAGCAACAGCAGCAGCAGCAGCAACAGCAACAGCAGCAACAACAGCCGAUAUCAAAACAGAGCAAAACUAUCGAACAGCAACUGCAACAGCAACAGCAGCAACAACAACAACAACAACAACAACAUCAACAACAACAGCAGCAACCCGCAAGACCACCGGUUAACUGGAUGAUGACCCCGGAAAUAAAGCACAGCACGAACAUAGCCGAUUUGAUAUUACCACCGAUCGGCAAAGAGCUUGAAUUCUGUCAGAACAACAUUUUUACUCAAGCAACCUCUUACAAUCAGACCCCCCCUAAUCACCAAUUCUACAAUAAUUAUGAGGCAACUGUGACCGCCCCUCACGGCUUCCCAAAUAUAUCAACGCUGCAAACGGAUCCACGGAGAAUUCCCGAUGGUGGCUUUUAUCCCGAGGAACAAGCCUUUUCUUGGUCUCCAACAAAAAAUACUCAAAUCGAACACAACGCGAUGCAAAAGUCGAUCGAUCAACACGUCGUCGUUCCCUCGACUCUUCCGACUCUCGUUGGUGAUCUGGCCCUCGGUACAAACAUUUCGGAAAAGCAGAGUUUCCUCUUCGGCCAAAUGGCCCCUCGUAACAAGGACAUUGCGCAAGCCCCUCCGGUGAGCAAGGACAAAGAUCACGUCGUCAGGGACUAUCAGACGAUGAUAAAUACUCAAAAUCCUCAGCAAAGCGUUCAGGGCACAUCGUUUUUGUCAGUGAGCCAACUGGUCGAACACGAAAAGGCCGAAAAAUCGAAUCAACAGCACAACCAUCAUUCCCACAACCACAAUCAUCACCAGCACCAUCAUCAGCACCAACAGCACCAACACAAUCAACAACAACCUUCUGUUCCAACGAAUCAUCAGCCGCAUACCCGAAAGCAACGCAAGAACACCAACGGCAGCCCUCGUACGACGGGCAAACGUCAAAUCGACGCGAGAAAAACAACAGCGAGCGCGAACGUCGUCGAUCAACUGCACCCACAGACUACCGCGGAGGAACAAAAAUUAUCAACUUCCCAUACGUUCCCCGAGCAAACUUAUCACCAGCAUCAUCAACAACAGCAACAGCACCAAAACAACAGCCAACAAAAUCAAAAGUUUCAGCAAAACGAUGUACACUGGCGAAACAGACAGUGCAAAAGCAACUACACCGCGGAGGCUCUCAUUGGUGGAAACACGAGUGUUCAGGACAACAAUAAUCCUGAGAAGCAAAUGCAAGCCUCGACCAUAAAAUCUUUCGCAUCGGAAUAUCCUCAAAAUAAAUAUCCAGCGGGUAUCGGCACGACGGAAAUGAUAAUGCCAACGAUCAAUUAUCUCCCGAAUCCGAGCGACGAUCCAAACGCCUACGGCCAGAGCGUCAAUCAAAAUUUCAAUCCAUCUUCCUACGCGUAUUCACCAAAUACCAAUAUUUAUCCGACAACUAAUUUCAUAACGAGCAUAUCCAAUACGCCGACCAGUUACAUGAUGCCGUUGCACGACAAUCCGAGUGACUUCAUCGAAGCCAACUCGUUUUUGUUGCCAAACGUAACCUCGACGACGAAAACAACGUUGAAUCUCUCGUCCACGACUGUUUCCACCGUCACGAGUUCGAGGCUCGCCACUUCCUCGAGUUUGAGCGCUCCAACGAACUCGAAAAGUCAACAGCAGCAUUACAGCACUACCAGCAGCCUCGUGAAGAAUCAGAAUUGCGAAAAACGCAAUUCUUAUACGACCACCGCAACGAAAAAAAGCAAACGGAAAACUGACAACGCGAGCAUGCACAAUUUGGAAUUUCCAAUCUCGUCGGUCGCUUCCCAAAUCGAUGACUACCAUUCUCAUCCUCAUCAUCAUCAUCACCACCAUCAUCAUUCACAUCCGUCGAGUUUCCUCACACCUCCUCAUGCUAAUUCCCUCUAUCAAAAUCAUUCCCACCCCAGUUCCGUUGGAUUAAUGACCAAUUCUAAUCGCAUACCGAGAGCUACUACUUUGAGCAAUAAUCCUCCUCUUGGACACCAUCAUCCGUCGGGAACUAGUCUCACUAAUUUUAAUCUCAGCACCAUCUUUCCUGAAAUCAACGACAAGGUAUCCGGAUACAAGCCUCCGAACGUAAUUCCCUCUGGAUUGUCCCAAGCAUCGAAUCAUCCUACUGUGACGUAUCCUCAGCGUGGAAACUACGCAGUAAAUAACACGCUUGGCCACAUACCUCAGGAAACGACUCAAUUUACUAGUGACUUGCCAACUGCUCCACCACCAGGUGUACUCCAUUACAAAAAUACCUGACGAAACGGAGAAGGUCGAUAAAUUGUGCACGAAAAGAUAAAAACAAUGAAACUGAAAGAAGAAAGUUUGGAACUUUCGUUUUAUCGACUGGAUUUGUGGUUCAAAAUCUAAAAACUCAACCUCCACAAUUACCGACAUCGCCUUUAAGGUUUUUUUUCCUGAAAAGAACAUUCGAAGAAGACGUAGUUAAUGGAUCAAAAUUGUUCUGGCAAAAAAGGUUGAGACGAAAAGUGAAAAAAUGUUUCAAAACACCGUCACGAUCGAAAGUUUGCGCAUAUCAGGCGACCCCGUAUUUGGAAGCGUGACGAAAGUUUGGAUGUCUGCGGCCCUCUUGACGAGCCGAGGGUCACGAUGGAUAGAUCACGUCAUAAAAUUCAAUCAAUCUACUCGUUGCUUCUAAUCUGUUAGAACGCUCGUCGCUAGUGUUCGUCGAGCCAGAGAGAUGGAAAGUGCUAGAGCAACUCGUUCGAACGUUGUGUCGCAUUUUGAUAGUGAAUGAGGAAAUUUCAGCAUCGAUAGACAAGCGAUAAUGCGUAAUCUGUUGAAUAAGUGCGCACGCACUCGGAACAGAACAAGUGUACUAUGAUCGUGUAAAAAUGUCUACACAUGGAUAUUCAUAUGCGUAGUGUGUACACAUAAAUCUAUAGGUUUACACGAGAUAUAGAGACGUGCGUCUGAAAGAGAUUAUUAAGCCCGAUUGAUGAAAGAGCUGUACGUUCCUCUCGUUCGUAUUAUAUCCAGUUAUUCGUGUCAGACCGCGAGGGAAUCAAGUACGAGUGUAUCCAGGCACGGGUACACAAACAAAUAUUUGAACGCAGAUCGCUACGGAAAGUUCGAAUGUACUCGGACAAACAUAACGUAUAGUUUAAGAAAUAAAUUCGAUGUGGAAAGGGAAUUUAAGCCGAA